UGGGGAAUAUUGGACAAUGGGCGAAAGCCUGAUCCAGCCAUGCCGCGUGUGUGAAGAAGGUCUUCGGAUUGUAAAGCACUUUAAGUUGGGAGGAAGGGCAGUAAGCGAAUACCUUGCUGCUUUGACGUUACCGACAGAAUAAGCACCGGCUAACUCUGUGCCAGCAGCCGCGGUAAUACAGUGGGUGCAAGCGUUAAUCGGAAUUACUGGGCGUAAAGCGCGCGUAGGUGGUUCGUUAAGUUGAAUGUGAAAGCCCCGGGCUCAACCUGGGAACUGCAUCCAAAACUGGCGAGCUAGAGUAGGGCAGAGGGUGGUGGAAUUUCCUGUGUAGCGGUGAAAUGCGUAGAUAUAGGAAGGAACACCAGUGGCGAAGGCGACCACCUGGGCUCAUACUGACACUGAGGUGCGAAAGCGUGGGGAGCAAACAGG
rnacentral:rRNA from 1 species